GAGGAUCAGCUGAGGCCAUCUAAUCCUUUGGUUCAUCUUGGUCAGAGGUAGAGUAAAGCUUGAAGUAUCCAGUCCUGUCCAUUCAGCCUUGUUCAAGUGGAACUCAAGUCUUGUCCAAGCCAGUUUCAAGACUAAUCUUUAGGUGAGUCUAGAGAGAAGAUGAGAUAGAUCAUGAAUGUGUACAUGAUUGAGUUUAAAUUGUAGUAUCUCAAUUAGAUAGUAAAGUCUUUGAAUCCUUUAAGAAGUGUAUGGGUUUACUCAGUGUAAACACUUACACUUAAAGAUUAAUCAAAAGGUUAAAGUGAGGUUAAUCAUAAUCA